CAUCACUGAUGAAUUAUCUUGACAAGCAUAUGGCUGACUUGUAAAUGAUGCCACUUUAAUUCUGAGAUG